GUAACUUUUUUGUGAUUGUGGGGGGAAGGGGGGAGAGGGUUCUAUAAAUUCACUCAAUAUAAGUUUUGUUAGAUAUCUUUUACUUGAACUUUAUAGAAUCAAAAUUAGCAUUUAUUAGUUUCAUAUCAAGUACCUGAAAGACAUACUGAACUCGUCAAAGCCUUGAUCUAAUAUUUGGUUUGAAGCAACCAUAUGACAUUUUGUUCCUUGUCUGCUCUAUCCGAUGCCGUGCUUCCAAAUUCCAGUAUAUUUUUCAACAAAAUCAUGUGUUAGUCUACCUUUCGCCCCUUCCCACUUGAAUUUGUGUAUAGCAUAUUCAAAGUUCAUCAUCUGUUACCAUUUAUUAUUAAAUUGUUAACCACUCUCGUCAUGCUUGAGUCUCUGGCUUUAUCAAUUUAUUUUUACUUUUAUAAUGUUGACUGAUAUUGAUGCAGUGCAUAAGAUGCUUGCGGCAGA
rnacentral:misc_RNA from 1 species